CAAUAGCGUAUAUUUAAGUUGCUGCAGUUAAAAAGCUCGUAGUUGGAUUUCGGGUGGGAAUGGCCGGUCCGCCGUUUCGGUGUGCACUUGCUACGCCCACCUUGCUGCCGGGGACGAGCUCUUGAGUUCACGCUCGGGACACGGAGUCGGCGAGGUUACUUUGAGUAAAUUAGAGUGUUCAAAGCAGGCCUACGCUCUGAAUACAUUAGCAUGGAAUAACACGAUAGGACUCUGGCCUAUCUUGUUGGUCUGUAGGACCGGAGUAAUGAUUAAGAGGGACAGUCGGGGGCAUUCGUAUUUCAUUGUCAGAGGUGAAAUUCUUGGAUUUAUGAAAGACGAACUACUGCGAAAGCAUUUGCCAAGGAUGUUUUCAUUAA
rnacentral:rRNA from 1 species